rnacentral:rRNA from 1 species
AAAUUGAAGAGUUUGAUCAUGGCUCAGAUUGAAUGCUGGCGGCAGGCCUAACACAUGCAAGUCGAACGGUAACAGGAAACAGCUUGCUGUUUCGCUGACGAGUGGCGGACGGGUGAGUAAUGUCUGGGAAACUGCCUGAUGGAGGGGGAUAACUACUGGAAACGGUAGCUAAUACCGCAUAACGUCGCAAGACCAAAGAGGGGGACCUUCGGGCCUCUUGCCAUCGGAUGUGCCCAGAUGGGAUUAGCUAGUAGGUGGGGUAACGGCUCACCUAGGCGACGAUCCCUAGCUGGUCUGAGAGGAUGACCAGCCACACUGGAACUGAGACACGGUCCAGACUCCUACGGGAGGCAGCAGUGGGGAAUAUUGCACAAUGGGCGCAAGCCUGAUGCAGCCAUGCCGCGUGUAUGAAGAAGGCCUUCGGGUUGUAAAGUACUUUCAGCGGGGAGGAAGGGAGUAAAGUUAAUACCUUUGCUCAUUGACGUUACCCGCAGAAGAAGCAC